UUGGGUUAUCGUUCUUUGACUCUUCUUCAUCAUUGCCGUCUACACUAAACUCAGUCUGCAAAUACAAAUGUUUCUCUUUUUGACUCUUUACCUUCUGGAAUGUGCAGACGUUCAACGUAUUCUACUUUAUUCUCCCAAUUAAUGUGAUUCCCUAAAUCCAAUUUCUUCAAUCGAAAGCAAAACCCAAGAGCCAGAGACUUCGAUUGUGUAAUGUUAUCUACCACCAUCAAAGCUAUUAACAGCUUCAACUCCAUCAUGUCAUCCACACUCUUCAUCUCCCCCUUGACUCCACCUAUAUAAACUCCUCAGAAUCCAAAUCUCCUCUGGUAGCUUCCAUGGAUGAGAAAUAGUCAAAUUUCAAGCUCCAAAGCUUAAAAAUAUAGCACCAAAGCUCCCGCAAUAUCAACAUCAACCAGCACAUCCAUGGCGCUAAGAAUCCAGCGAAAUCACCACAAAAUCUCCAACUGAAUCGAUCACAGCUCCAUGGAUAAGAAAAAAUGGGUUACUCGGUUCCAUCUACAGCCCUGAAUGCUGCAAAAAGCAGGAUGCUCAUAGGGCUUGAUCUGUUAUUUUGGCAAAGAGAUAAAGAUCGAGAGUUACGGGAGCCACACUGAGAACAAAGCGCAAAGGUUGUAAGAGAGACAAAGAGAGAGAGGCUUUAAGAGAUUUGUUGUUAUCUGAUUAUUUUUCGAUAUUGUUUUGUGUUUAUGUUAGUUUAAUAUUUAGCAAACUUACAGGGCCAAAAAAUACAUACGAUUGUGGAGUGGACUAUGUAGAUUUGGUCCAAUGGAGUAUACUUCCGAUGGAUUUAUCUCCUUUUAGUUCAGCUGAAAUCAAUGAUAAUCAAAAAUAGAGUUGUUUAAGUUUAAUUCUGUAUGGAAACCAUCUGAGUUUUGUAGAUCUUCAACACUCUGCUUUUGAGUUAUGUUGAUGCAAGUGGGAGCUGUAACAAAAUUACGUUCUUUAACACAUUAUUUUCAUUUACUGUGGUUUUAC